GAGGGAGUGGCGGACGGGUGAGGAACACGUGGGUGACCUAUCUUUCAGUGAGGAAUACCGGCGAGAAAUCGCCGACAAGACCGCAUAGGCUUCUCCGUUCAACCGGAAAAGCAAAGCUUUUUCGCAAGAGGAGGCGCUGGAAGCUGGGCCCGCGGCCGAUUAGCUGGCUGGUGGGGUAAUGGCCUACCAGGGCAACGAUCGGUAGCUGGUCUGAGAGGACGAUCAGCCACACUGGGAUUGAGAACGGCCCAGACUCCUACGGGGGGCAGCAGUGAGGAAUUUUCGGCAAUGGGGGCAACCCUGACCGAGCAACGCCGCGUGCAGGACGACGGCCUUCGGGUUGUAAACUGCUUUUCUCGAGGACGAGGAAGGACGGUACUCGAGGAAGAAGCCCCGGCUAACUAAGUGCCAGCAGCCGCGGUAAUACAGAGGGUGCAAGCGUUGUUCGGAAUUAUUGGGCGUAAAGGGCGCGUAGGCGGCGCGGUAAGAGUGUGGUGAAAUCCCCGGGCUCAACUCGGGGCCUGCCACGCUGACUGCCGUGCUCGAGUAUGGGAGAGGUGCGUGGAAUUCCCGGUGUAGCGGUGAAAUGCGUAGAUAUCGGGAGGAACACCUGUGGCGAAAGCGGCGCACUGGACCAUAACUGACGCUGAGGCGCGAAAGCUAGGGGAGCAAACAGGAUUAGAUACCCUGGUAGUCCUAGCCCUAAACGAUGAUUGCUUGGUGUGCCGGGUACCCAAUCCCGCCGUGCCGAAGCUAACGCGAUAAGCAAUCCGCCUGGGGAGUACGGUCGCAAGGCUGGAACUCAAAGGAAUUGACGGGGGCCCGCACAAGCGGUGGAGCAUGUGGUUCAAUUCGACGCAACGCGAAGAAC
rnacentral:rRNA from 1 species